UAGGAAGAUUACUUUCUAUAUAUAUUUUUUUUUUCUCUCUUCUUUCUUUAUCUUUUUGAGAAAUCUUUUUUCAUUAAGUGUAAUAUACAAAAUGUGAAUGAGGAUUUGUUGCAAAGGUUAAGUGUGGUAUGAUGUACUUGGCAACAUACAUUACUAAGAGGUUUUGAGGUCUGAUCACCCUCAAAUUUUCUGUAUCUGUUAAGACAGAUAGCUUUCAUUGCUGUAACUGGAAUUUUUGCAUUGUGAUUCUUUAGAAAACAUCCUCUUUCUGUACAUGCAGAAUUUUGGUGAAAUUAGGGGAGGUGAAUGUAACAGAUGUUAUAUCAAUUUAUUAAUUUCACUCAAAAUCUCUCCCAGUAUUUUUAUAUUGAUUUUUGUUAUUUGAGUUGUUUUCUACGCUUAUAAGUUCAUUUUCUUUUGUGUUUGUAGUAAUUGUUAAAAAAAUGGUACACGGCUCCUUUAAAAAUUGAGUUCCGGUCGCUUUCCUAUCAGUUUGCAGUAAACGCAGCUGAAGGAAGCAGGUUGAUGCUAAAAAGGCCACAGAUUGUCUUUUGAUUUUGUUUUUAUUUUUAUUAUCUCAGGUAUGUUUUCCAUCUACGUUUCUCUUCAUAUUAUUGUCUUGAAUUUAUAUAAAAUGUUUUGUUGUGUGGAAAAAUGUUAGUGUUAAAUGUAAAGCUUGUUGAUCAAAUCAUAUGCAGUUCAUCUGAAACUGUAAUAUAAACACGAGUUUGCAGUAAACGCAGCUGAAGGAAGCAGGUUGAUGCUAAAAAGGCCACAGAUUGUCUUUUGAUUUUGUUUUUAUUUUUAUUAUCUCAGAAUAAAAACAAGUGGUCUGAGGGA